UCCCUCGUGGCGCAACCGGAUAGCGCGUCGGACUGUUAUACUCUCUACGAUCUCGUCGGAGUAGCAGGUAUCCGGAGGUUGUAAGUUCAAGCCUUACCGAGGGAG